UACGUAGGGUGCGAGCGUUGUCCGGAAUUAUUGGGCGUAAAGAGCUUGUAGGCGGUUUGUCGCGUCUGCUGUGAAAAUCCGGGGCUCAACCCCGGACUUGCAGUGGGUACGGGCAGACUAGAGUGUGGUAGGGGAGACUGGAAUUCCUGGUGUAGCGGUGAAAUGCGCAGAUAUCAGGAGGAACACCGGUGGCGAAGGCGGGUCUCUGGGCCGAUGACUGACGCUGAGACGCGAAAGCGUGGGGGAGCAAACAGG
rnacentral:rRNA from 1 species